rnacentral:rRNA from 1 species
UACGAAGGGGCUAGCGUUGUUCGGAUUUACUGGGCGCAAAGCGCACGUAGGCGGAUUGUUAAGUCGGGGGUGAAAUCCUGGAGCUCAACUCCAGAACUGCCUUCGAUACUGGCAAUCUCGAGUCCGGAAGAGGUAAGUGGAACUCCUAGUGUAGAGGUGGAAUUCGUAGAUAUUAGGAAGAACACCAGUGGCGAAGGCGGCUUACUGGUCCGGUACUGACGGCUGAGGUGCGAAAGCGUGGGGAGCAAACAGG